rnacentral:rRNA from 1 species
AUCGAACGCUGGCGGCAGGCCUAACACAUGCAAGUCGAACGAGUGGCGGACGGGUGAGUAAUGUCUGGGAAACUGCCUGCUGGAGGGGGAUAACUACUGGAAACGGUCGCUAAUACCGCAUACCAUCAGAUGUGCCCAGAUGGGAUUAGCUUGUUGGGGGGGUAACGGCUCACCAAGGCGACGAUCCAUAGCUGGUCUGAGAGGAGGACCAGCCACACGGGAACAGAGAAACGGCCGCGACUCCUACGGGAGGCAACAGUGGGGAAUAUUGCACAAGGGGGGCAUGCCGAAUGCAGCCAUGCCGCGUGUAUGAAGAAGGCCUUCGGGUUGUAAAGUACUUUCAGCGGGGAGGCGUUACCCGCAGAGGAAGCACCGGCUAACUCCGUGCCAGCAGCCGCGGUAAUAC